rnacentral:rRNA from 1 species
UCAUUUAGUUGGGGACUCUAAGGAGACUGCUGGUGAAGAACCGGAGGAAGGCGGGGACGAGGUCAAGUCAUCAUGGCCUUUAUGGGUAGGGCCACACACGUGCUACAAUGGGGCAUACAAAGGGAAGCCAACUCGCGAGAGGGAGCCGAUCCCAGAAAGUGCCUCGUAGUCCGGAUUGGAGUCUGCAACUCGACUCCAUGAAGUCGGAAUCGCUAGUAAUCGCGGAUCAGAAUGCCGCGGUGAAUACGUUCCCGGGCCUU